rnacentral:misc_RNA from 1 species
GAAAUGCGAUAAGUAAUGUGAAUUGCAGAAUUCAGUGAAUCAUCGAAUCUUUGAACGCACCUUGCGCUCCUUGGUAUUCCUUGGAGCAUGCCUGUUUGAGUAUCAUGAAAUCUUCUAAGUAAAUCUUUUGUUAACUCAAUUGGUUUCUACUUUGGUAUUGGAGGUCUUUGCAGCUUCACACCUGCUCCUCUUUGUUCAUUAGCUGGAUCUCAGUGUUAUGCUUGGUUCCACUCGGCGUGAUAAGUUAUCUAUCGCUGAGGACACUGUAAAAGGUGGCCAAGGUAAAUGCAGAUGAACCGCUUCUAAUAGUCCAUUGACUUGGACAAUACUUUUAUGAUCUGAUCUCAAAUCAGGUAGAACUACCCGCUGAACUUAAGC